AAGAGAACAAGAUUUGAAUCCUCAAAUCUACUUUAUAAAUAACUAUGAUCCAUGGAAAAUGGGAAAAUCUGAGGGAACAACUAAAGUCUAGUCAAGAUAAAGCUAAAGAGGGCAUGUGAAUGGAGACUUCUGGAUGAAUUCUUUGCUUUGGGACAUUUUUCUAAGAAUUCUACAAAAAGCUUCAUUUCUCAGCUCCCUCAGCUAUUCUGCCCUGAGAUAGCCAGCCACAUCCUCUAUGGUGGCCCUCAGCCCGGGGCUGACAGGUACCGGAGUGCGAAAGCCCAGGAAAUAUCUCCAUACAGGAUUUCUCUGAGGCAUAAGACAGGAUUCAGACGGAUCUGACAUCACCUGGGGGAUGGCAGAGAAUGAAGAGCCCAGUCACAGACUGAGGGUGAUCAGCUUUUGCUUGCAAAGUGUCUGGCGUUCCUUGCAUCCCAAGUGCCAUUAAAAUCACCUGACAAAGGUCCCCCAGGGACUCACUGAAUGAAGGUCCUGUGUUAGAGCUGAGGGGAAAGCAAAGAAUUGCAUGAAAAUCAUUCAGAUCUGUUUGAAGACGUUGUGGCACUUGGCAGAUUCUGGAGCUGCACUUUUCCUUUGGGCUAAAUCUCUGGACCUGCAGUAAGAAAAGAAAACUCAUCUGGAGAGGAAGGUCAAAAGCACAUGGAUGGCUUCAAUGGUUACUUUGUGGCUCCACCUAAUGGCUAAAGGUUCAAACUACUCCUGUGAAAGCACCACAGAGUGAGGGGUGGGAAGGUUUGGGAUUGUGAAGGGUGGAAGCAGAGAUGUCUGGAGUUAGUCCAUUUCCUGCUCUCUGAGAUUUAAGACCAGCAAAGAGCAUGUGCAUCAAAUGUCAGUAUGGUCCAGGGACCCAUCUCUGGUUCUUCCCUUGACCUGCCCUGCUACAGCCAUUUUAUUAGGCACUGACCGUGCUGUGGAAAUGCAAAGUGGCAAAGCCCACAGGAGAUAAUUGGCAGUAUCUAGCAAAACCACAUGUGAUUUUGCCCUUUGACCUGGUAUUCUAAGGAACUAUUCAAAAAAUACUCUGGCGAAAAAAAAAUACAAAAUGAGGUAUAGACAUACAA